rnacentral:rRNA from 1 species
UACAGAGGGGGCAAGCGUUGUUCGGAAUUACUGGGCGUAAAGGGCGCGUAGGCGGCUUCGCAAGUGGAAGGUGAAAUCCCUCGGCUUAACCGAGGAACUGCCCUCCAAACUGCGUUGCUUGAGGCCGGGAGAGGUGAGUGGAAUUCCCAGUGUAGCGGUGAAAUGCGUAGAUAUUGGGAGGAACACCAGUGGCGAAGGCGGCUCACUGGACCGGUACUGACGCUGGAGGCGGACGAAAGCGGUGGGGAGCAAACGGGG